ACGGAAUAGAUACCCUGGUAGUCCACGCCCUAAACGAUGUCUACUAGUUGUUGGUGGAGUAAAAUCCAUGAGUAAACGCAGCUAAAUGCGUGAAGUAGACCGCCUGGGGAGUACGGUCGCAAGAUUAAAACUCAAUGAAUUGACGGGGGCCCGGCACAAGCGGUGGAUUAUGUGGAUUAAUUCGAUGCAACGCGAAAACCUUACCUGGCCUUGACAUGUAACGAACUUUCCAGAGAUGGAUUGGUGCUCGAAAGAGAACGUUAACACAGGUGCUGCAUGGCUGUCGUCAGCUCGUGUCGUGAGAUGUUGGGUUAAGUCCCGCAACGAGCGCAACCCUUGCCAUUAAUUGCCAUCAUUUAGUUGGGCACUUUAAUGGGACUGCCGGUGACAAACCGGAGGAAGGUGGGGAUGACGUCAAGUCCUCAUGGCCCUUAUGGCCAGGGCUUCACACGUAAUACAAUGGUCGGUACAGA
rnacentral:rRNA from 1 species